CCUACGGGUGUCAGCAGUGGGGAAUAUUGCACAAUGGGGGAAACCCUGAUGCAGCGACGCCGCGUGAGUGAAGAAGUAAUUCGUUACGUAAAGCUCUAUCAGCAGGGAAGAAAAUGACGGUACCUGAGCAAGAAGCCCCGGCUAACUACGUGCCAGCAGCCGCGGUAAUACGUAGGGGGCAAGCGGUAUCCGGAUUUACUGGGUGUAAAGGGAGCGUAGACGGUUCGCCAAGUCUAGCGUGAAAUGCCGGAGCUUAACGGCGGAACUGCUUUGGAAACUGGCUAACUAGAGUGCGGGAGGGGUGAGCGGAAUUCCUAGUGUAGCAGUGAAAUGCGUAGAUAUUAGGAGGAACACCAGUGGCGAAGGCGACUAACUGGACCGUAACUGACGUUGAGGAUCGAAAGCGUGGGGAGCAAACAGGAUUAGAUACCCGAGUAGUC
rnacentral:rRNA from 1 species